UCAACAUUUAUAAGAUUGACAAUUGAGCCCACAUAAUUUGAUGUGUUUCCUGGAAUAUUCAGCCCUUGAUACAAGAAAUCCUCGGCCACGGUCAGGUUUGGGUUCUUGCAGAACUUCCCAUUUACAAAUACUGCAUGAAGAAGGAAAAAAGAAAAGAUAUAUCAUUAGUAUCAAACCAUACUCACCAUAUCAAUAAAAAGAGAAGUACUGAAAAUAGCUAUAAGAUCAUUGGUUACUAUAGAAAUACCAGCAUUAUUGGGCUCAUCAACGGCAACACAGGUGUCUUCCAGUGGGCUUGGAUCAUAGGCAGAGGCAAGAAAGGAAGCCAAUGCCAUGAAGGCCACGGUUACCAGGAAACUAACGCCUCUCUUCAUUGUUAGAGUACUGCCUCCAACAAUCACAAUCUUUAUCUUUAGGCGGGGAUAAGAAAUUUAGCAUGGAAAAGAUGUUAAUUUAUAGACCAGAGUCGAUGAGUUAGUCUUUGCAUAAACUCACCAAGUCUUCAAUGGGAAGUUUUUUCUUCUUUCUUUUUUCACUUUCGAGGACAAGCGGUUGCACCAAUACAUGUUGAUUUACGUAGGAUUAGUCAGUAAACAGAUCUUAACCAGAAUAUAAAGCAAUGUACAAUCAGGUGGAGGCAGGUCCAAUUUAAUAUCAAUCUGCAUGAUCCAAACGUUUACAUUGUUUCAACAUUUUUGUAUUAUGGUUUUUAUGAACUGUGUUUUUUUGAGUUGUAAGGAAGAAAAACUUAGGUUUAAAGUUCUAGCAUAGAAGAAAAAACCUGUAGAUUAAUUGAUUUUUUAAUCUGAACCAAACACAUGAUCAACUCCAUAAAAACAAGUGGAAAACAAGAAAAAAUGAAUGAUUUUUAAUAUGUAUUUGUGUGAGAAUGAUAGGUAUAGAUUUUUUUUUGAGAUAUACUGCCACAUAAUCUUCAUCCCUUCUAAAAAACGAGAGAGAAAAAAAAAAGAAUGAUUUUUCUGUUUGUAUCUAAGUGAGAAUGAGAUAUAGAAUUUCACUCCAGACGCAUUAAUUUUAUCUCAUACUGCCAUGCUAGACCAAAUCAGCCCUUAACGACAACCACACUGUUUUGUGGGGGGGGGGUUACUUUUGUUCCAUUAUAUUCACAGAAUCUUCAAAUCCAUUCUUUGGAUUAAUCUGCAUGAGGAAAUCUGUUACUGUUAGUGACGGAAACCUGUUAUUGUUAGUACCGGAGUCAACUGUUUGACUGGGUGGGUUCCAAUCAGAUCCUAAGGAAUGGGUCCAAAGGUCAUCCAUUAGAGUUAAUGGAAUUCAUUGUUGUUCUUGUGCCUUGAUGUGUGAGCCCAACACGCACAGAUGCAACUAGGGAUGGCAACGGGGCGGGUUUUUUCGGGUACCCGCCCUGCCCCGCCCCUAAUGGGAUGGGGUUGAAAUUUAAUAAAUGGGUUUUUAACGGGUAUAAGAUUUUUUUUUUUAAACCCGGGGCGGGUUCGGGUAUUGCCCCAUCCCGCCCCGCCCCGCCCCGCCCCGCCCCGCCCCGCCCCGUUUACAUAUAAAAUCAAUUUUAAAAUUUAAUUUAAUUUAAUUUAAAUUUUAAAAUUAAUUUUAUUUUACUAUUUUUAAUAUAUAGAUAAUAAAAAAAAAUUAAUAAAAUAAAUUAUAAAAAAUAUAAUAAUUUUAUUAUUUAUAAAUAUAUUUAUUUUAAUGUAAUUAAAAAUUUUAAAAGCAAUUUUUUUUUUUUUUAAAAAGGAGGCUAAACAGGGCUGGGCGGGGCGGGUUUGGGAAUUUCCCAUACCUGCCCCGCCCCGCCCCGCCCUGCCCCGUUUAAUUUUUUAAACGGGACGGGGAUGGGAAUUAUUUUUAAUAAACGGGGCGGGGUUGGGAUGGGGGCGACCCGUCCCGAACCUGCCCCGUUGCCAUUCCUAGAUGCAACAGUAUGAGUCAUGUGCAGGUAGAUUUGAAUAGACACAUCUUGGCAUCGGGAUGGCUUGAGCAAGGUGUAGUCUCCUACAAUAGGAAGCAUGGUGAACUGAUGCAUCACAUGAGCAAGACUCCUAUUGCAUGAGACAUACUCCUAUCACAUGAGACUUCUAGUCAAAGUGGGAGAUUGAGACCUAAUAUUGCAGGAAGAGAAAGGGACUCUUGACAUGAGAAGACUCCUAAUCGGGAUAGAAAACUAAAUCUUCAUGCAUAAGGAGAUAGAGAGAUGUGGCAUGAGAGUUUUAGAUUCAGUAGGACUUGGAGUCCUACUCAAAUUUGUCAUCUGUUAAGCUUGAGUCGGACGCAAACUAGGACUCAAAAGUUAGUCUCCUAGUAGGAUUAGGAUGGCUUGGUGCAACCUUCAUAAAAGGAGGGCGUGACCCAAUAGGAUGCUCCAAAAAUGGUACCUUACGUGAUAGGAAGGCCCCUUCAAAAGUCAUAUUGCUUGUACCACCAAGACACCACCACUAAGUAUUUGUCCAUAUCUUAAUCCAUGUGUGCAUGGAGAUGAACAUAAAUAUAUAUAGAAAAGAUAAAUAUUAGAAGACAAGUCUCCACAAAGAGACAAAAAUAUAGAAGGCUUCGGUCAACCAAUCCCGCUAUGCGUGGCAAAUGUUUCAGGGGACUGCGUAGGAUUGAACAGCCUUUGCUAGAGGGAAGAUCAAUCUAUGGGCGUGAAUAAAGAGAGAACUGGAGAAGUAUUGGAACAGGCGGGUCACCUCAGUUGACCAGGAAACAUGGCAUUAGUCAACGCAAACCUUGGCUUUCGAUCUCUACAUCGGUGCUGAAUAUUGUUGAACGGAAACACGUGGCCAGCUACAUUGGUUCUAGACAACAAAGGCUGCAACAAUUAACCUGAAAUUGAAAAUUUUGAAAUUUUUUUGAAAACAUAACAUCUUAAGAUGACUGGUAACCUUCUCUUAUUGGUUGGCUCUAAAUCAAAACCACUAUACAUGCAUUGUUCAAUGUAUAUAUGAUGUAGCAUUUUUGUGUUUUGUCUUUUACAAGUUGUAUAUAUUGGAAAAUUCUGACACCAUACAAAAACAUAGAAAAGCCACAAAUACCGCAACUUGCAUAUUUUCAUUUUAUGGCUGAAACUUUUCAAUGAAUCAUUAUCUUUAUUUCAAACUUUAAAAUUUUGAAAACAUAACAUCUUAAGAUGACUCGUAACCUUCUCUUAUUGGUUGGCUCUAAAUCAAAACCACUAUACAUGCAUUGUUCAAUGUAUAUAUGAUGUAGUAUUUUUGUGUUUUGUCUUUUACAAGUUUUAUAAAUUGGAAAAUUCUGACACCAUACAAAAACAUAGAAAAGCCACAAAUACCGCAACUUGCAUAUUUUUAUUUUAUUUUAAUUAUUUAUAGUUGAUUAGGUUUAUGGUAUGCCAUGUUGGAUGCUUUCAGAUUUUACAGAUCUAAGUUACUUUUAUUUUGAGAACGAAUAUUCCAUAAUUCAACCUUUUCCUUUUCUUGUUGGUAAUCAUGAUACAUAAAAUCUAGGAAUGCUAAACACAUCUUUUUUAAAAGUACUAUAUUGUAUUACAAUAGGAAAUGGCUUUUAUCAAAAGAGAAAUAUCCUUAAAUUGAUUAGGCCUAGCUCAUACUUUCAUCAACCAUAUGAUGACAUGAAAAAAAUCAAAGAAGAAAUAUGGGAAAUGGUACGAAAAGAGAUGGGUAGUAAUAACAUGAGACAACAACUUGUUUUACAACUAGUUGUAGCAGAAAAACCAAUGUUUAAAAUGAUAGAAGAGCCCCAACCACCAGAACCACCACUGAAACACAAGGUAUGCAUUUACUUACUAAUAAUACAAGAUUAAUAUAAGUGACAUAAAGCCUAUGUAAAUGAUAUUAUUUGUUGUAUUGAAGGUAAUUAAAUGUAAAUUAGCAGUGGAAAGAAAAGAAAAUGUUGUUCCAACUGGUACACUAAUAGAAGAAAAAGGAUCGAAUAGGUUGGUUGUAAUAAAUGCUGCACACAAGCCAGAUGCUAGACUCCCAUUUCCAAAUCCAUAUGAGAUUAUCAAUGUUGGGGAUGCUAUUGGCUUUGAGCUUGACUGGCCAACAAGCCUUGUCAUACUUGAAACUGAACAUCCUUAGGUAUGUCAUUUUAUGCCUAUAGUAAAUUUGAUUGUAACUUGGUAUUUUAUUGUUUAGGAGUAUAUAUAUCUAACAUUCCUUCCUUUUUCAUAGGUGUUGGAUAAAGGAAAGAAGAAGAUAGUGAAGACACCAAUUUUUUGAAAAUCUAAGCCUCAAAAUCAUUCGGUCAUUAAAAAUUUUCAAAAAUUUGUGGAUGGUUGUCUUGGUAAUGACAAGACAUACCCAAUACAGCUCCCCAUUUCACUUUUUGGUGUCGAAUUUCAAACAUAUAUAUCUAGAGAGGAUUGUGAAUACAUUAUUUCAUCUUUAGAGGUGUCAUCAAACUGCAUCUCCUUCUAUUUAUGGUGUGCACCUUUUAUUUUCAUUUGUUUUUAUUUUUUUAAAUAUGAGUUGCCCAUGUUGAACGAAAUUGGAUAUGACUAAUGAUAAUUUUCUUUUGGUGUUUUGAUACAAUAAUAGGCACAUGCAUGAUCAACUACAUAUUGCCAAAAAGGAAUCACAAUUUAUAUUUGUUAAUCCUUUUACAAUAUCACGAGCAAGCCUUAGUACUCAUCAAACAGAGAAAAGAGCACAAUUGUUGUCAAAACGCUUAAUGGAGUGCCAAGAUGCUAAAUAUGUUUUCAUACCUUACAACCCUGAGUAAGUGACAAAUAUUAUACUUUAAUUUGAGGUUUUAUGAUUGAUUUAUAUUUCUAAUUAGACGCUACUUUUGUUUUUAAUGUUUUAGCUUUCAUUGGGUCUUGGUGGUGAUUGAGCCAAGGAAAAUGAUAGUCCACUAUCUUGACCCUAUGCAUCACAAACUAUUUGAGGACUUAAAGAAUAUCGUAAACAUGUAAGUUCUUCCUAUUAUUUUUCAUAGUAUUAUUUUUUUUUUUUUAUAAAAAAUACAUUCAUCUCAAACACAUUGAACUUAUUUACAUAGGGCACUUCGAAUAUCUACAAAGAAAACAUCUAAAAGGGAGCCAUCUUGGCAACUAGUGCAGGUGACAUCCAAAAAAUUUUCUUUACACAUUAGCUUAUGCAUUUGCACCAUUUAUAUAUAUGAGUACUAAUGUUAUUUUAUAAUUGAUCGAUUAGUGUCCAAGACAAGAAGGAGGGUUCGAAUGUGGCUACUUUGUUAUGAGAUUCAUAAAAGAGAUAAUUUUUUAUCCUACAAUUAUUGCUUCAAAGGUAUUACAAAUUUAAUGAAUUGUACAUAGUUUUAGGCUUCCAAAUGUUAUGCAUUUUAAUGUUAUUUUCUUAUUUGAUUUCAGUUUGGUGAUAAAAAAACAUAUUCUCAAGUAGAAUUCGAUGAAAUUAGAGAAAAAUGGGCUACUUUUGUGCUACAACUAAUCAUGAAUCAUGUUGAUGCAUCAUGAUCACCAUGCAUGGUGAGUCCUUUAGCUACUACAUGAAUUUUUCCAUAGGUUCUUUGAAUAAUGUUUCUAUUUGAAAAAAAAAAAGAAAAAAAAAUAGUUCUUAGAUUUUUUUCAUUUAUGAUAACAUCGAUCCAUGUUUAUUUUCUUCAAUAAAAAUCUAUAAAACUCAUUAAACUAUGAAAUGCAAGUAUACACUUUUGGGAUGGUGGAAUGGAGAAUAAAAAGAAAGAAGAAGGCAACAAGAUUUUGGGUUUUUAAAUGCAACUCUUAUGUCAUACGUUGUAGGACAUAAAUGUUAAUUUAAUUAGUACUGAGAAAUUUAGAUUUUUAGAUGGGACUUUUAUGUCAUUUUAUAGUUAGCCGGUUUUAUGCUUAUGAAUUGGAGGUAUACAUGAAUCUUGGGAUCUUUAACAUUUCUAAAUCAUGUUUUGGUAUGUAUUCACUCUUCUUUUUUUAGUUUUGAUGGGUUUGAUAUGUUGGAUGUACUAUCUUUUUGUGAACAUUUGAUAUACAAAUAUUAUUAGAUGAUCAAUGUAUUAUGAGUUAUUCUAGAAACAUUACAGAAAAAUGAGUUAAAUAUAAUAUUAUUGUUAUAUUUAUGGACAAAAAAUAAAUAGGUUAAUCUUACUUAUUAAUUCAUAAGCAUUACAAAAAUUUAUAACUAAAAGCAAUCAUAUCUUCCACAAUAAUUUACAAUGAUGUGACACCAUUACUCAAAGGUGAUGCAUUUAAUAUGACAUUAUAAUUCAAAGAUGAUGCAUUUAAUGCGAUACCCUCUCAUCACUAGAAAUAUAUGGUGUCACUUCCGAAUGGGUCACCAUUUAUCUACUUUGGUGUCACUUCCAAAUACGUUACCAAUUGGUACCCUCUAUGGUAUCAGUGGAGAAGGUGACGCUAUGUUGUAGUGACACCCUAUGUUUAUGGUAACUCGUUAUAAAUGUCACCAUAUAUCUUUUUCCCUAUAGUGUAUAGCUCCAGUGAGGCUGUUCUCAGAGAAACAAAGGUAUGUCAAGUUUGUCAUUUGGCCUAGUACAGCAGGAAUGCUUCCAGUCAGAUUGUUAUCGUCCAAGUCUAUUGUCUCCAGGCUCCAAUAGCCUUGUAUGGAGGCUGGAAUAUUGCCUCCAAGCUUAUUACAACUCAUGUUUAUGAAUGUUAACUCAGAAAGCUCUCCAAUGGUAGCUGGGAUCCCUCCAUACAAGCUGUUGCCUUGCAAAGAGAGGGUGGUGAGAUGGGAUAGAUUGGAUAUGUAUGGUGAGAUAACUCCCUGUAAGCGCAUGUUUAUGAGCUUGAUUGACUCUAUUGAUAUUUUGUUGGUUGAGCAUGGAUUUAUGACUUAUAACGCACACGUGGAGGGUUGAAUUUCAUGAAAGAAAAUGAGGGUCAGAAAAAUAAUAAAUGGCAAGACAUUGAGCUUAUUGUGGGUAUGAUUGGGUACAAAUUCUUUUGUAUAUAUCUACUUGGGGUAUACAAUUGAAUAUUUAAUUUAGGAAGAUUCAAAAAAUUGUUUUCAAUGAAAUUCAAUAAUAAUAAUAAUAAUAAUAACAAUUGCCUGGAAAUUUAUUUAUUUAAUAAACAUUGUUUUGUCAUCAAAGUUAAUUUUUAAUAAAAUUAUCUAAAAAAAUGAAUUUUUAAAUAAAAUUCUAUUUCCUUAAUUAAAAUGGGCUAAAAAGUAAUUUUUGCAAAUUAAUGUCUUAAAUAACCUUUUCAUAAUAAUAGAAUGAGAAUCUUUUUAGCAAAUUGAACUUAUACAAAUCAUUUUCUUUUUGUAAAUAAAGUUUGUAAAAAAAUUAUUUUCUUUAUAAAUAAAAUCAAAUUGAAAUAUUUUUACAACUAAAAGAAUAUUUAGUUGAGCAAGUGAUGAACUAUUUUCUUGUUUAAGUAACCUUUUGUAAUGUUCCCCCAGCAUAAUGGUAGUACAAUAAGAGGGUUUAUUAUGUACUUCUUUCUAUAUGGACUUUGGGUAUAAUAAAAACAAUGCUUUCUCUUUCUCUCUCUCUCUCUCUCCCCCUCAGUCCACAGGUUUAGACCCUUAGCUUUACCCUGCACUAAGUCUUGAAAGCCAAAGAUUAUGCAGAAUCAAACUCUUAAAGUCUACAGCAUGAGUUGAGGAAAAAAGGAUGAGUAUUUAACGUAGUAGUUGAGGAAUGAUUCAAUGUUUGAAAUAUAAAAAAUGCAAUCCAUUGAACACUUAGCUGGCCUAUCUGCUUAUUAUUGUAUACAUAAAACAUAGACUAAUCCGAAGACUUCUAUGUGAUAACUUUAGAAUUUUCAUAUCCAAGGUUUUCACUUCUUUCUCAUCAGAAGACAAAGAUUGUAACUGUUGCAGAAAACCUAACAACCUAGUUUAUUUGUUAAGGUCCCUUUCUCUCAUAAAACAUAAAUAUAUUCACUAUCAAACACCAUAAUGAUAAUAAUAAUUAAUGAUCUUCUUUUUGCUGUAUAUACACUACUUUAGAGUUUGUUCAAUGUUUGGUUACCAAGAAAACACAAGGACUGAUCUGCUGCAUUAAAAGGUUAAUAUGUAGUUCUUCCAUUAGCUAGCCAUUUGGAACUAAGUCUUGUGGAGAACUUUUCAUAUUGGAGAUGGAUAUGAAAUUGGACCUGCCUCCACCUCAUUGAACUUCACUUUCAACAUAUGCAUUGAGAAUAUUUAAGUUAAGAUCAGUAUACUAACUAACCCUACAUAAAUUAACAUGUAUUGGUGAAAACACUUAUCCUUGUAAGUGAGAAAGCAAAAAAAGAAAAAAAAAAAAAGAAAAAAGAGAGAGACCUACCCAUUGAAGACUGUCUAUAAAUUGACAUGUUUCUCAUGCAAAAAUUUUCACCCCUCGCCUAAACGCAAAGAUUUGUAAUUGUUUGGAGACAGUACUCUAACAAUGGAGAAAGGUGUUAGUUUCCUAGUAACUGUGGCCCUCAUGGCAUUGGCUUCAUCUUUUGCCUCUGCCUCUGAUCCAAGCCCACUGCAGGACACUUGCGUUGCCAGACCCAAGAAUGCUGGUAUUUCUUUAGUAACCAACGAACUUGUCUCUAUUUUCACUAAUCUUUCCAAUUCAAUAUUGGGCACAUUAAUGCAGUAGCCAUUGCUGGUCUGAGCAGCCAAAAUCCAGGUGUAAUCACCAUAGCCAAUGCAGUGUUUGGAUCAAAUCCACCCAUCAAUCCCGAUUUCCUGGCAACGGCCUUCCAGUUGGACAAGAAGGUGGUUGAAUUCCUUCAAGCACGAUUCUAGUGGGGAAAUAGAGAAAAUGAAGAAGCUAUGAACCUUUGGUUUUCUUGCUUGAAUGACUAUUUGUGAUGUUCAAUUACCUCAUUACAAUAAGAGGGGUUUAUUACUUUAUUUUGUAGCUCUUUUGGUGUGGAUUUUGAUCCUGAUAUUAAAAUAAAGCAGUUUGUCUGUUAGGCAUCUUCUUCUGUCUCCAUCUCAAUAUUUGUCUUAAAAAAUCUCAUCUUGUGAAAAAACAACUGGAUAACAACUCUCAGUUGAUUGAUUAACCUGCAUGUGCAGAAUGUUUAUUAAGAAGGAAUACUUAGCUAGUUGUAAAACAGUACUACUGUUACUUCCAGCAUAAGUGUCAUGAAAAUUGUGAAGAAAGAAUGGAAAUGAAAACCCAGAAAUCUUAUGACAUCUACUGUAGACAAAUUAAUGUCUUAAAUAAUCUUUUCAUAAUAAUAGAAUGAGAAUCUUUUUAGCAAAUUGAACUUAUACAAAUCAUUUUCUUUUCGUAAAUAAAGUUUGUAAAGAAAUUAUUUUCUUUAUAAAUAAAAUCAAAUUAAAAUAUUUUUGUAAAUAAACUAAAAAUUAAUGUCCUAAGUAAAAAUCAUUUUUAUUGUCAAAUUGGAAUUUUUUGAAUAAAUUCUAUCCAAAUAGAAUUGAAUCAAAUCAUUUAUUGGAAAUAAAUAAAUAAAUUAAAAUCUUGAAAAAGUAAUAUUUAAAAUAUCUUUUUGUAAUCAAUUUAAUAAAUCGGUUUGUAUAAUUCUAAUGUCAUUUAUUUUGUACAUUUUUGUAAUUUAAUUUUAUCAUUAUUUUCUUGUAUAUUAAUUUGUCUCUUUAAUCUUGAUAUUCAUGAUUGAUCAAUUAACUGUCAUAAUUCAUUUCGUUUGUUUAGUAAAUAUUGUUAGUAUACAUGCUUAGAGGAGUAUUACGACUUAUUACUGUACCUUCCUGAUAGGCAACCUGACCCUUGAAUAUAGACUUGAUUUUACAAACAUGUCUUUUCUAAAUGAGGAGUUACACAAAAUUUUCUUUCUUAUUUUGUUCUCUUUUAAAAAAUAAAUUAAAAUAAGUGGCAACCCUAAUUUUUUUAUAAAAAAAAAAAAAAAAUCAAAUUUUCACAAUAAAAAUGAGUCUCACUGUCGAGUGGGAACACACGCAAAAAAUACGGGUCAACAUGUAUCCAAUUGAUUGGGGUCAAUGUCAAGAUGUGUGAUAAAGAUGCAAAUUUGAAUAUGAAUCCUGCCAUUGAUUGAAUCUUGAACUACCCGAUAGUGGUUGUAACAAGUGAGAUAAGUUGCUAAGGUUUGCGUUGAAAAGUUCAGCCAUGGAAAGUUACUAGUCAUCCAAAUAUGUAUAUAAAUCAAAGUGCACAUUCUAAAUCAAAGAAAUCAGCCUCCUUAAGCAAAAGACCUUACAAUUCUUAGAGUAUGUUUGGUAGUAAUUUUAGGAAGUGUUUUUAACUUUUUUAAUAAUUGAAAAAUAAGAAUUUUGAAGUAUUAAAAAAUGUUAGAAACACUUCCUAAAAUCACUAUCAAACGCACUUUUAAUGUAAUUUGCUCUAUCUACCACUUGAUGUGGAUGUUAAGAUUGAUAUCCUUGGUCAUUGCCUAUAAUCCUAUAUCUAUAAUUGCAAGAAGACAUACAUUGAAACAUGAAUACCCUUUCACUAUGUUUGGUUUAUGGAAAAUACUAAGAAAAGAAAAUGUUUUUCUUAUAUUUAGUUUUAUUAUGAAAAAUAAGAAAAAAUAAAAUAUAAUUAUAAUUAAUUAAAAUUUUAUGUAUUUUAAAAUUAUUUAAUAUUUAUAUAAUGAAGGAAAAUAAAUGAAACGAGCUUGAAAAAGUAUAUAAAAAUAAUUUAUUAAUUAUAACUUGUAUGCGACUAUUUUGUACUUUAAUCCCGUUUUUCUUUUAUCCUCUUGUAGGUACCUUGAUUUUAUAUAUUUGUAUCUUUAUUCAAUGAUUUAGAUUUCAUAUAUUUGUAUCUUUAAUUGAGAUUGCAAGAUCUGUACGGAUUCAGAUUAGGGAUGGCAACGCUAUAAGCUUAAGAUAAGUUACUCAUAUCCCAAUCCAUUAUAUUUAUUCGUAUAUGUUAUCAUCCCCACCAAAAAAAGAAAUUAAAUGGGAUGGGACGGGUAUAGGAAAUUCUCAUGCCUACCCCAUGCUAUCCCGUUUUUUAUUUAUUUAUUUUUCAAUUUUUAUUUCUAAAAUUUUAAGAAAAUUAAUAUUUUAAAUAUGUUAAAAAAAUUGAAAACUGAAAAAAGAAAUCAAUUAAAAGAACUUUUUAUUUAACAUUAUACAUAAUUAGGCUGAGGUAGGAUGAAACAAACUCAUACCCAAAAUCACCCCGAAUCAAUCUCGGGUUUUAAAAAAUUUCUCAAAUUCAAGAUGAGACAAAAUCAUAUCCAAAACUAUCUCGAAUCCAUCCUAGAUUUUAAAAAUUUUCUCAAAUUUAUCUAAACUCGUUUAUCAUUAUCUCAAAACGAGCCCAUUAAGGGUAGGACGAGUACUAAAUAAAAUUGGUAUAUUAUCAUCCCUAAUCAAGAUCCUAAAAUUUUUCUUUAUGAUAAUGAAAACAACAAUCAUAGUCGUCAUCUCUCUAUCAGUUUACUUGUUAGGUUUGAUCAAAUACACCUUAUGUGUUGCCUUUGGGCAACCUAGCUCUCUCAAUCAUUGUCUAAAGUUCGGGUGUUUGUUUAUUUUUUUAAUUCAUUUUGUCUUAAGUUUUUUAUUAUUAAAUAAAAUUUCUUUUUGUUACUUUAAACACCUCUAAUAAUUAUACUUUUUAUUUUUUAUAUUUAUAUUUAUCAAGUUUAUAACUGUAAAAUUUAUAAAAAUGUUAGUUUUUUGUUUUUAAAAAUAAUAAAAAGUGAUAUUUAAAGGGUCAAGUGGGCCAGCAUGAUGGCACGAUGGGUUGUUUCCUUAGGCCCACCACGACCCGCUCCUUUGGGCCAUGCCGGCCUGACUCGGUCUUUUGGCGCACUUGGCCACAGGCCAAAAUGGGUGGCUCGACCCAUUGGACACCUCUAGUAGUUACAUGUCUAGCAUCCAAACGUUAGACCAGAUGAGUUUUGUCAAACCCAACCCAUUCAUCCCCUUUGCCUCAUGUUGGCCACCCGGUUCGGACCAGCCUUGACAUGAACGGCAAGGUCCAAUGGAUUAGGUUGAUUUAGGGUCUCGAUUAUUUUUGUUUAAAUAAAUUGCAAAGAAAAAAAAAACUUGGUUUGGAUAAAUAAAUUUCAAUUGUUUUUAAAAUAGGUUUUUAUUUUAUUUUUUGUAAAAUUUUUUAUAAAUUCAAUUUAUACAAUAUUAAUUAUAUGUAAUUGAAGUCUUAUUAAAGAUUUUUUAAAAAAUAGUUUUUAAAUUAAAGAUAAAUUAAAAAAAAUCAUAAAAUAUGAAAUUAAUAUUAUAAUAAAAUCAUAAAUUAUGGUUUUUAUUUAAAAUGAUACUAUUUUAAGAUAUGAUUUAUUUAUUUUUAUAAGAAUGAAUAAUACUAAUUUUAAAAUAAUAAAAGGGUGAUAUAUUUUAUUUGAAAUAAAUUUAAAAAUAAAUAAAUUUUAUUUUUUUAAUACGUAAAUAAGUCAUGUUUUUCAUUAUAUCUACACCCGAGAAUUUAAACUUGACCCAAACUUCAACUAAAAAGACCUAUAUCCAACACAGUUAUUAGAGGUGUCCAAUGGGUCGUGUCGGGCCAACACAAUCCGAUGUUUAUCAGGCCAAUGCGUUGGCUCGACCCAUGCAAGCCAAAUAGGUGGCUUGACAUGGCCCAUAAGCCCAUGUGCUAAUCAUGUCGUGUUGUGCCAUGCCGGUGAGUCGUGCCCCAUGGGCACACACUUUAUUAAAAAUUUUAAUUAAUUUUUUUUAAUUCAUUUUGACUUAAGUUUUUUUAUUAUUAAAUAAAAUUUCUUUUUGUUACUUUAAACACCUCUAAUAAUUAUACUUUUUUAUUUUUUAUACACUUCUAAUAAUUAUACUUUUUUUUUAUAUUUAUAUUUAUCAAGUUUAUAACUGUAAAAUUUAUAAAAAUGUUAGUUUUUUGUUUUUAAAAAUAAUAAAAAGUGAUAUUUAAAGGGUUAAGUGGGCCAGCAUGAUGGCACGAUGGGUUGUUUCCUUAGGCCCACCACGACCCGCUCCUUUGGGCCAUGCCAGCUUGACUCGGUCUUUUGGCGCACUAGGCCACAGGCUAAAAUGGGUGGCUCGACCCAUUGGACACCUCUAGUAGUUACAUGUCUAGCAUCCAAACGUUAGACCGGGUGAGUUUUGUCAAACCCAACCCAUUCAUCCCCUUUGCUUCAUGUUGGCCACUCGGUUCAGACAUUGGGUUGAUUUGGGGUCUCGGUUCUUUUUGUUUAAAUAAAUUGCAAAGAAAAAAAAAACUUGGUUUGGAUAAAUAAACUUCAGUUGUGUUUAAAAUAAGUUUUUAUUUGAUUUUUUGUAAAAAAAAUUAUAAAUUCAAUUUAUACAAUAUUAAUUAUAUUUAAUUGAAGUCUUAUUAAAGAUUUUUUUAAAAAUAGUUUUUAAAUUAAAGAUAAAUUAAAAAAAUUCGUAAAAUAUGAAAUUAAUAUUAUAAUAAAAUCAUAAAUUAUGAUUUUUAUUUAAAAUGAUACUAUUUUAAGAUAUGAUUGAUUUAUUUAUUUAUUUAUUUUGAUAAGAAUGAAUAAUACUAAUUUUAAAAUAAUAACAGGGUGAUAUUUUAUUUGAAAUAAAUUUAAAAAUAAAUAAAAUUUAUUUUUUUUAAUACGUAAAUAAGUGAAGUUUUUCAUUAUAUCUACACCUGAGAAUUUAAUCAAGGAUAUAGUAUUUUGAACUAGUUUUGAGUCAUUCCUAUAAGCUUCAUUCAGUCAUUAUGGUUUAGACAAUUGAUAAUUAAUCUGUUGGCAUAAUUGAUUCUGCAAAACAGUAUCCUGAAUUUAGUAUCGAGGGAGGCAGAAACACAGCGAGAGAGAGAGAGAGAGAGAGAUGAUGCUUAACAAACAGACUGCAGACUGCUUUAUUGUAGUAAUAUGCCCAAAGUCCACACUAGAAGAGUUACAACCAGACCCUCUUAUUAUACCAUGUUUGUUACAAUGAGGGAAUUGAACAUCAUGAAUCGUCAUUCAAGCAAGGAAAUCAAAGGUUGACAGCUUAUUCUUUUUCUAUAUUUCCCCACUAGAAUCGUGCUUGAAGGUAUUCAACCACCCUCUUGUCCAACUGGAAGGCCCUUGCCAGGAAAUCAGGAUUGAUGGGUGGAUUUGAUCCAAACAUUGAACUGGCUAUGGUGAUUACACCUGGAUUUUGGCUGUUAAAAACGGCAAUGGCUACUGCAUUAGUGUGCCCAAUGUUGACUUGGAAGUGAAUGAGACUGAAAGGGAACACAAAAACAUCCCCCUUGUUCAGGACUUUGCUAAUGAAGCGGUGUUCAGGGUUGGAUGUGAUAAAGCCAACAAAGAGUUUUCCCUCCAAGACAAUGAAGAUCUCACUGGCACGAGGGUGAAAGUGAGGAGGGUUUUGACCAUUAGGUUCAUAAUCGAUACGAGACAGUGACACCCCAAGAGUGUUUUCUCCUGGUAAUUGAUCAACAUUUAUAAGAUUGACAAUUGAGCCCACAUAAUUUGAUGUGUUUCCUGGAAUAUUCAGCCCUUGAUACAAGAAAUCCUCGGCCACGGUCAG
rnacentral:lncRNA from 1 species